rnacentral:rRNA from 1 species
CGCCCCCGCCGAAAUAAAUAGUGUGUACAGGGCACGCCGCGUGAGUGAUGAAGGCUUUCGGGUCGUAAAACUCUGUUGUUAGGGAAGAACAAGUGCUAGUUGAAUAAGCUGGCACCUUGACGGUACCUAACCAGAAAGCCACGGCUAACUACGUGCCAGCAGCCGCGGUAAUGCGGUAAUAA